rnacentral:rRNA from 1 species
GACGAACGCUGGCGGCGUGCCUAAUACAUGCAAGUAGAACGCUGAAGGAGGAGCUUGCUUCUCUGGAUGAGUUGCGAACGGGUGAGUAACGCGUAGGUAACCUGCCUGGUAGCGGGGGAUAACUAUUGGAAACGAUAGCUAUUACCGCAUAAGAGUAGAUGUUGCAUGACAUUUGCUUAAAAGGUGCAAUUGCAUCACUACCAGAUGGACCUGCGUUGUAUUAGCUAGUUGGUGGGGUAACGGCUCACCAAGGCGACGAUACAUAGCCGACCUGAGAGGGUGAUCGGCCACACUGGGACUGAGACACGGCCCAGACUCCUACGGGAGGCAGCAGUAGGGAAUCUUCGGCAAUGGACGGAAGUCUGACCGAGCAACGCCGCGUGAGUGAAGAAGGUUUUCGGAUCGUAAAGCUCUGUUGUAAGAGAAGAACGAGUGUGAGAGUGGAAAGUUCACACUGUGACGGUAUCUUACCAGAAAGGGACGGCUAACUACGUG